GUUUUGUACCACUGCACGUGCAAGUUGUGUGAUCCAUGCUGUUUUAGAAUCAUGUCUUGUGCUCAGUUUUCUUACAUAUAACAAGGUGUUUCGUAGGUAGCGUGUAUUCAUCUGGAAGCGUUUAGCCCUUAGGAUAUUUGCAAUGGACCGUCACAAUCGAAAGAAGCAUUUCACAGUAAAUGACGUUUCGACGAAGUGGGCCACUGGCCCAAAAAGGCAGACAAACGCCGUCGAUGUGCAAACUGUAAAACGAUCAAAACAGACACGACAUGUGAAAAAUGCAAGGUUCCUUUGUGUUUCACUGAGAGGAAUUAUUGCUACAGAUCUUAUCACACAAAAUAAAUUUCAACUGUAAACAAUUUGACUUUUAUCUCAAUGGACACCAAUACUAUUGUAACCAAGAAUGGAAAUGAACUUCUAACCCAAAAGGGUCACCGAUGACCCAUGACCGGAAAUGACGUAAUAAAAGUAAAAUCUUGAA